AGUCACUGCUGCUUUUCAGGGGGGAGGGGAGGGCAAGGAGGCAAGGAGGUUGGACGGGUGCAAAUGCACCAGUGGAGCCAAUCUGGUGCUCCUGCUGAUACAUUUGCACUGUGCCAACCUCCCCUCUGCCUCGCUUCUCCCCCUUCUGAUAAGCAGCAGUGAC
rnacentral:miRNA from 1 species